CAGUCGCCGCGGUAAUACGAAGGGGGCUAGCGUUGCUCGGAAUUACUGGGCGUAAAGGGAGCGUAGGCGGACAUUUAAGUCAGGGGUGAAAUCCCAGAGCUCAACUCUGGAACUGCCUUUGAUACUGGGUGUCUUGAGUGUGAUAGAGGUAUGUGGAACACCGAGUGUAGAGGUGAAAUUCGUAGAUAUUCGGAAGAACACCAGUGGCGAAGGCGACAUACUGGAUCAUUACUGACGCUGAGGCUCGAAAGCGUGGGGAGCAAACAGGAUUAGAUACCCGCGUAGUCCCUGUCUCUUAUAC
rnacentral:rRNA from 1 species